rnacentral:tRNA from 1 species
GCCAGGCUGGCAUAGCGGUUUGAGCAUUGGACUAGGACUCUGGAGACCAGGGUUCAAAUCCCAGCUCGGCCA